rnacentral:rRNA from 1 species
GAUCCUGGCUCAGAAUCAACGCUGGCGGCGUGCCUAAUGCAUGCAAGUCGAACGCAGCACCUUCGGGUGGCUGCGUGGCGAACGGCUGAGGAACACGUGCGUACCUGCCUCCUCGUGGGGAAUACCGGCUGGAAACASCCGACAAUACCGCGUACGCUCACCUUCGGGUGAGGAAAGCCUUCGGGCGCGGGGAGAGGGGCGCGCGGCCCAUCAGGUUGAUGGCGGGGUAACGGCCCACCAUGCCGGUGACGGGUCGCUGGUCUGUGAGGACGGCCAGCCAGACUGGGACUGCGACACGGCCCAGACACCUACGGGUGGCAGCAGCAAGGAAUCUUCCCCAAUGGGCUCACGCCCGAGGGAGCAACGCCGCGUGGAGGAUGACGGCCUUCGGGUUGUAAACUCCUUUUGUCGGGGACGAUACGGACGGUACCCGGCGAAUCAGCCCCGGCUAACUCUGUGCCAGCAGCCGCGGUAAUACAGAGGGGGCAAGCGUUGUCCGGACUUACUGGGCGUACAGCGCGCGCAGGCGGCUACGUAUGUGCUUGGUGACAUCCUCCCGCUUAACGGGAGGCGGCCCAGGUAGACAGCGUGGCUAGAGGUAGGGAGAGGGAUGUGGAAUGCCCGGUGGAGCGGUGAAAUGCGUAGAGAUCGGGCGGAACACCAGCGGCGAAGGCGGCAUCCUGGCCCUAAACUGACGCUGAGGCGCGAUAGCGUGGGA